rnacentral:rRNA from 1 species
CAGCCGCCGCGGUAAUACCGGCGGCCCGAGUGGCGGCCACUAUUAUUGGGCUUAAAGCGUCCGUAGCCGGGUUGGUUAGUCUCCCGGGAAAUCUGGCCGCUUAACGGUCAGAAUUCCGGGAGAUACUGCCAGCCUAGGGACCGGGAGAGGCCGAGGGUAUUCCCGGAGUAGGGGUGAAAUCCUAUAAUCCCGGGAGGACCACCUGUGGCGAAGGCGCUCGGCUGGAACGGGUCCGACGGUGAGGGACGAAGGCCAGGGGAGCAAACCGGAUUAGAUACCCGGGUAGUCCUGGCUGUAAACGAUGCGGACGUUGUGUCGGACAAGCUAUGAGCUUGUCCGGUGCCGGAGGGAAACCGUUAAGUCCGCCGCCUGGGGAGUACGGCCGCAAGGCUGAAACUUAAAGGAAUUGGCGGG